GGGCAUUUUCAUAUUUCUAAAACACAGGGAUUCAAGUGUUAAUUAUACCAUAAUGCAAGAAAAAAAAUAAUUUACCCAUUAUUUUAUGUAAUCACUAAAGCAUUUUAAAUUGGGAAAAAUGAAAAAAAAAAUUAAUGCAUAAAAUAAAGAUGCAGAAUACAUGCGCUUGUUUUCUUCAAAUCUUGUGUAUGAUAACUUGCGCACCAAACUGAGGUUGAAGAGUAAGAGCAACGUUAGGAGAAUGUUUGUAGGUGGGGGAUAGCUCAAAUGAGAAGUGUUGCAAAAUCAAAGCUAGUGCUAAUUUAGCUUCAAUCAUAGCAAAGUUUUGUCCAAUGCACGUUCUUGGUCCCCAACCGAACGAAAAGAAUGGAGAUUGAAGGUCCUUGGAUGCCUUGGAAAUCCCUUCAGAAAAUCUUUCAGGAUUAAACUCUGUCGCAUCUUGUCCCCAUAGUUCAGGAUCCCUGUGGAUGAGGUACAAUGGGAUCUGCAAGCUUACUCCUGCUGGAAGAGAGUAUUCUCCUAGUUUUGUCUCUUCUUGAAUAGAUCGAACAAGGGAAGUUGGCGGAUACAAUCUCAGAACCUCAAGCAGGAUCAAGUUCACAAGCUUUAAUUUGUUCAACUCAUCAAAAGUUGGUUUAUUUUUUCCAAUGUGUUGCAGCACCUCUUGCCUAGCCUUUUCUUGCCAGUUUUGAUGCAUACUCAAUACAAUCAUAGUCCAAGCUAGCAAAUUGGCAGUAGUCUCAUGACCAGCGAAGUAGAAUAGCUUGCAUUCUUCUAUCACAUCAUCUCUUGACAUCCCAACAUUUUUGUUUUGUUGAAUCUCAUUGAAAUUAGAUUUGAGUAGCAGAUUCAGUAAAUCAUCCUUGUGUUCAUUUCCUGACAGUAUAGCCUUCUCCCUAUUCUCUAUUAGGCCUCGAAGCAGGGUUUUAACUUCUUCGUGGAUUUGCAUCAUUCGUUUGUUCAAUUUUGAGGGGAAGAACCUUGACCAGAGAGAAUUGAGAUUGAAAAGUGACUGUAAAAGGAGUUGAGCUUGUUUCCUUUGGAGAGAGAAAAUCAAUCUCCCUUCUUCAAGAUUGCUACUAAAAGCUGCCCUUGAUAUAAUAUCUCCUGUUAAGUUCUGAAACUCAGGGAAAACAUCCAAUUCACAGGAUUUUGCAGAUGAGUCCAUCAUAUUGUCCCAUUUCUCAAUCAUUUCUUCACAAGAAGCCAUAAAAGAUGGUAACAUUCCCUGAAAAAGUUAAAAACAUUUCGCAAACAAAUGCAAAGAAAUAUAAAUAAUGAUUAAGAAACAUUAUAAUCAAUAUGAUCAUAACGGUAAUUAAUAGGAUACCUUCAAUUUUUCUAUGCGGAAGGCAGGGUUGAUUAUCUUCCUGUGCUUUACCCAUUUAUCUCCAUCAAUAUUUGCAAGGCCUUUCAAGAAAAACUUCAUGGUUGGACUUACCUCUGGCUUUCGAAAUUCAAAUUUCCUUGUCAGAAUCUCCCUUAUUAGCUUCGGAUCCAUAAUUGUCACACGAGGAACCAUUCCAUACCAAGCAGCAAAUGGCUUUUUAUGUAUCAUGGAGAGUUGCUGAAGGAAAGGAUCGACGCGAGGCGCGAUAUCAUGGGUUAGUUCCAUUUGCUUAGACCUAGCCUCUGAGGCUAACUUGAUCAUCUCUUUAACAUUCCCAUAAAUUAACUUGUAGGGCAGGACAUGGAUGCCUUGUUUUCUCAACUUCUUCUCCAUCAUUUUGGGUCUCAUCCAUACUGCAUGCAACAGUUUCAGACUCCAAAAUAAAAGACAACACAGCAUCAAACCCAAAGCCAAAAGUGCCAUUUCCUUUCUCUGAAUUAUGGUCUAAAUCGAGUACAUGUGAGGCUGCU
rnacentral:misc_RNA from 1 species